rnacentral:rRNA from 1 species
GUCUACAGCCAUACCACCCUGAACGCGCCCGAUCUCGUCUGAUCUCUGAAGCUAAGCAGGGUCGGGCCUGGUUAGUACUUGGAUGGGAGAAUGAUGACUAUUUGGAAAGUCAUAAAUA